rnacentral:rRNA from 1 species
UACAGAGGGUGCAAGCGUUAAUCGGAAUCACUGGGCGUAAAGCGUGCGUAGGCGGCUUAGCAAGUCGGGCGUGAAAUCCCCGGGCUCAACCUGGGAAUGGCACUCGAUACUACUAAGCUAGAGUGUGGUAGAGGGAAGUGGAAUUCCCGGUGUAGCGGUGAAAUGCGUAGAUAUCAGGAAGAACACCCGUGGCGAAGGCGGUUCUCUGGGACGGUACUUACGCUGAGACGCGAAAGCGUGGGGAGCGAACAGG